GUGAGUUUUCAGAAUGUCCUAGAUAUUGUACUGAUUUUUUUAUUUGUUUAUUUUUUUGUGGUAAAAAAUGCUUAACAUGAGAUCUACCCUCUUUAACAAACUAUUAAGUGUACAAUCCUGUAUUGUUGACCAUAGUUACAACGUUGAACAGCAAAUCUCUAGAGCUUAUUCUCUUGCUUAACUGGAAUUUUGCACCCAUUGAUUAGUGACUCUCCAUUUCUCCCUUCCCCUGGUUCCAGCCUACUACCAUUCCAUUCUUUGAUCCUAUAAAUUUGACUAUUUUAGAUCUCACAUGUAAGUGGAAUCAUGCAGUAUUUGCCUUUCUGUGACUGGUUUAUUUUGUUUAGUUUUUACAGGAAAUUGCAAAUUUUUUUUUUUUUAAAGAUUUUAUUUUUUUCCUUUUUCUCCCCAAAGUCCCCCGGUACAUAGUUGUAUAUUCUUUGUUGUGGGUCCUUCUAGUUGUGGCAUAUGGGACGCUGCCCCAGCGUGGCUUGAUGAGCAGUGUCAUGUCCGUGCCCAGGAUUCGAACCAACGAAACACUGGGUCUCCUGCAGCGGAGCGCGCAAACUCAACCACUCGGCCAUGGGGCCAGCCCCGUGGAAAUUGAAAAUUUUGUUUAUGUUUAAAAUAACACUUAAGAGCCUGUUACUACAACAGUGUUUUGUUUUGUGUGGGGGAUGUUCUUCUUUCUUUUCCUUCCUUCUUUCUUCCCAUCCUUCUUUCCUUCUUUCCCCUCCAUGUCCUUUUUUAUAAAUUUUCAAAUGAGUAGAACCUCUAACUUACGAAGUUCUGACUGUGUGACAAGCAUUGUGCUGGAUUCUUUGCCGGUAUCAUCUCACUGAAUUCUCACAGCGACCGCAUGAGUCUGUACUCUUAUCUACAAUCACACAUGAAGAAGCCGAGAUUAGAUAACCCACCAUAUAUAUGGCUAGUGAAUGGGAAAGUUGGAAUCUGAAAACAGACUCCUCUUUCUCUCUCCUUUUUAAAAUCCAUGAUCAUUUUUUCCUCUAAGAUAAAUAUGGUAAGUGUUAAUUUGGUGACUGGAGUGACAAAUUUGGCACAUAUUUUCUUUCAAAUGUCAAUUUUCAAAAUAUCUCUUUCUACUUGACAUUUUACACUAAACAGCACUUUAGUAUCUAAAUUUAGUCCAAAUACUUGAUUGUACAGGGGUUUUACAUCUUUGUUUUAAAAGUGUUAAUUAAUUUGACUAUUUUCUUCUUGGAACUACAUAGACAAUUUCAAGGGCAAGUCUUUAAUAUCAUCAAAAUUUAAUUAAACUUAGUACUUUUUAAUUCAAGCUAUUUCUAUUGAGCUAUUAGAAUUAAUAUUGGGAUAAAAGACAUAUACUUAAGGAGAAGCAGAGAAAAACGGAACAAUAAGCAAACCAGUAUUGAUAUGAGGGGAGAGGCUGCUGCUUCUGAGUUUGGAUGAAUGUUUACCGAACUUUGAAUAUUAAGGCUGAGCUGAUUAGAAAACUUGCUAGUAAAUUUUACAGCUGGAUUUCCUGUGCAGUUUAGAGGCAGAAAGCUCCCUGAUACAUUCUACACACUGUUGUUA
ensembl:lncRNA